rnacentral:misc_RNA from 1 species
CAAAAAUAUCCAACUACAAAACAGAAAACCAGGGCAUGCCAGCCAGCCCUGAGCCAACCACUCUUGAAUCAUCCCAUCUUAUCAAACAGACCAGAUGACGGUGACCCAACAACAUGCAAUUUCAGCAGAAGAUGCAAUGCAUAGAUCGCUAGACAAUCUGCACUCCAAUUACUCUCUCAUAAACAAGCCUUAUUAGCCUGAUCUUAGCCGUCCAUACCCAUUUUUCAGAACCUCCUGGAUCACUAAUAACAGUUCACUGUUUGGAUUUGUAUUUGGACUAUCUACAUCACCGGCUUCCUUUUGUACAAAGCUUAAUUUGCUACAUUGAAGAGGAAUAUGUUUCAAAAUCAACCAAAACUGGAAAUGAAUAUG